UCAAGGGAUUAUAGGGACAUCUUGGCAUGCACUGUUGAUAGUUGCCAAAGUACAACAUUAGCAAUAUGAUCUUAAAGCAAAAAAAAAAAACAAUAAUGUUGAUUUGGUUUACUUUGGUUGAAUAAAAUGCUUCCUGUGAUCACACUAUCACAUGAAACGUAAACAUUAUAGCUAAUUUGAAUAAGACUCCUUACAUAUUAAAGUCUUACAAUCAUUUAAGGAUGCCACAUCAUAGGAAAAUACAAAAUAUACUCCGAGUCAUGUCUAAUAUUUCUGUCUCUUUAUAUGUUUCUAAUGAGUCAACUUGUUAUUAAAAUAGUCAAACUUUUAUUAGAGGGAAAAGAUCUAAAGCAAACAAACAUUUUUCUUUGCAUCACCAUUAUUGAGUGUAUACUCCUGAUUCAACUGCUAUUGAUAUUGUUGAUACAAGGAUGAGUAUCAUCACCUUAGUCUAUAAUGGAUGUAUUUGUUUAAUCUGAAUAAAAAAUAUCCCUA
rnacentral:lncRNA from 1 species